rnacentral:tRNA from 1 species
GGGCCCGUAGCUCAGCUAGGUUGAGCGAUCGGCUCUUAACCGAUAGGCCGUGGGUUCGAAUCCCACCGGGCCCGC